ACGGCCACGGGCACUGGCACUGCCGGCACCCACCACCACCUCCCUGGGGCUGCGCCUGGGCUCCUGGUUGCUGCGGCUGCUGCGGGAGUGCGUCUACCUCCUUCUCUGCAGCUGGUGCAUCCGGGAGCUGCUGGACUAGGGAAUGCCCCCUUCCCCCCUCCAGUGCUGCAGGACGUCCAGCACCCCCUGCCCGCCCUGGCUCUGUGGGACUGUGCUUGUCGCCACGUGCUGAUGGAGCUGACAGACCCCCGGCGCUGGGACACUGCGCUCCCCACAGUCAUAGACCCCAGUAAAGCUGAGCAGAGCCUGA